GACGAACGCUGGCGGCGUGCUUAACACAUGCAAGUCGAACGGAAAGGCCCUGCUUUUGUAGGGUGCUCGAGUGGCGAACGGGUGAGUAACACGUGAGUAACCUGCCCUUGACUUUGGGAUAACUUCAGGAAACUGGGGCUAAUACCGGAUAGGAGCUCCUGCUGCAUGGUGGGGGUUGGAAAGUUUCGGCGGUUGGGGAUGGACUCGCGGCUUAUCAGCUUGUUGGUGGGGUAGUGGCUUACCAAGGCUUUGACGGGUAGCCGGCCUGAGAGGGUGGCCGGCCACAUUGGGACUGAGAUACGGCCCAGACUCCUACGGGAGGCAGCAGUGGGGAAUAUUGCACAAUGGGCGGAAGCCUGAUGCAGCAACGCCGCGUGCGGGAUGACGGCCUUCGGGUUGUAAACCGCUUUCGCCUGUGACGAAGCGUGAGUGACGGUAAUGGGUAAAGAAGCACCGGCUAACUACGUG
rnacentral:rRNA from 1 species